UACGUAGGGUGCAAGCGUUGUCCGGAAUUAUUGGGCGUAAAGAGCGUGUAGGCGGCCAGGUAGGUCUGCUGUGAAAACUCGAGGCUCAACCUCGAGACGUCGGCGGAAACCAUCUGGCUAGAGUCCGGAAGAGGAGAGUGGAAUUCCUGGUGUAGCGGUGGAAUGCGCAGAUAUCAGGAGGAACACCGAUGGCGAAGGCAGGUCACUGGGCCGCAACUGACGCUGAGGAGCGAAAAGCAUGGGGGAGCGAACAGG
rnacentral:rRNA from 1 species